UUUGGUGCGACCCUAACCCCCUCCCCCUGGUGGCUCUGCCGUGCAACGAUUGUAUCCGUCCGAUCGCUCCGUGCGAUUCCCCAGCCGCCCCCUCCCUGUCGCUCGCCAUUCCCACGAUGCAGCCCCCUCCCCCGCCAUCUUGCCCCAUCCCCCGUCACCUGCCAUCUCCCGCGAUCCCGUCACGCUGCCCUCCCUAGCGAUCCUGUCUUUCGCCGUCGCCGCCGAACGCGCCCACGCCCCAGCGCCUUGCCAAUUGCCAUCGCCUGAUGAUCCUUGCACUUGCUCUCACCCGCACUGAUCCAAUUGGAUCCUUGCAGAUAUCUGCACUUGCAACUACACGGCCUCCAGCUCCAAUCGGAUCUUGCAAUUGCACUGCCUCCAAUCGGAUAUUGCACCCGCACCUCCAGUCUGAUUGGUUGCGUCCCCCUCAGCAGGUACUUAGUGCCACCAGAUUUUUUCAAUGUGAUCAAGGUCACUGCCCGACGGUGUGCUGCUGUGAUGACCAAUGGAAACCUAAUCAUCCUGAGUUUCACGUCAUAGGCUCUAUCAUUCUCCUGUAAAAGCCAAUUCCAUACCCAUGUCUGAUCUGCACUGUCUGAAUACACACGUCUUAUGGUCUGGUUAGCCCGGUCUAUUUGAUUUAUGUUUUUUCUAUUUGUUAGUUUCUAAUUUUAUAUUCUAGGACUAUACUAUUUUGAGUUCUCAAGGUGGCCAAUUUGAUACCCUUGACCCAUACUGUUUCCAGAAGGCAGAAGCUAUCUGAAUAAAAAGAAUUGAUGCUGGUGGCUCAGUGAAAUGAUCAAUGUUGAGAUAGGGAAUUCAGCCAUGGAAGCUCACUCACAAGAUCAACAAGCAUUAUCG